AAUAAAGAGAUGGCACAGCGAUCCCUCUGCCCUUAACAGACACCUCUGGGAAGGAACCUCCAGCAGGGCAAUCCUGGUCAUCAUCAAAACUCCAGUACGAAUGCAGUCACUGCCAUUUGCUGUCCUGACUACUCCCAAGAGGUGGAUCAUGUUCUGCCUCAGAUUUAUGUUCCUGAAAUCCAUGUAUAUUGAGUUGAGAUGAGCAAACUGGAGUUCAAAGAAGUGAAACAGCUUGCCAAUGUUUACUCAACCCAUUUGUGGUGAGUCCAGUCUCCAAACACAGGACCGAUUCCAAAGCCUCAACUCUAGUUCCACACUGUACUGCUCUCCUGGCACAGAGUUCGGACUUGUUGAAUAAAUCCCUGAUAUGCACCAAGUCAAA
ensembl:lncRNA novel transcript